rnacentral:rRNA from 1 species
GGCCGCGGGAAUUCGAUUCAGGCCUAACACAUGCAAGUCGAGCGAACCCUUCGGGGUGAGCGGCGGACGGGUGAGUAACGCGUGGGUAACCUGCCCUGUACACACGGAUAACAUACCGAAAGGUAUGCUAAUACGAGAUAAUAUGUAAUGAUCGCAUGGUCGAUACAUCAAAGCUCCGGCGGUACAGGAUGGACCCGCGUCUGAUUAGCUAGUUGGUGAGGUAAUGGCUCACCAAGGCGACGAUCAGUAGCCGACCUGAGAGGGUGAUCGGCCACAUUGGAACUGAGACACGGUCCAAACUCCUACGGGAGGCAGCAGUGGGGAAUAUUGCACAAUGGGCGAAAGCCUGAUGCAGCAACGCCGCGUGAGCGAAGAAGGCCUUCGGGUCGUAAAGCUCUGUCCUCAAGGAAGAUAAUGAC